UCUGCUAUAGAUCAUCAACACCCAGUGGUUGAUCAAAUAAUUUUGAAUUGAAUAAAAAAAACUGGAAGUCAAAUGAGAACGAAUAAACAUGGCAUUAGUACAUAAAUUACGGAGGAAAUAAGCACGAAUAACAACGUAAGCCAACUAUGUAAUGAUACUCAAUUUUCAUCCACUUGCUUUAAAAAAGUUCAUUGAAACUUGAAAGACCAACAAGGAACAGAGCAUUAUUAAAUUUCCACAUAAAGCUCCAAACUCCAUUGAAGCAACUGUUUAUAAGGAAUAUAAAAAGGGGAUUCCUCAUAAUCAUCCAUAGACAAUUAAUCAAAAACAUAACAAAAGAUGAAACCAUUUUAAAUUAACCAAAAUGAGCAAAGAGCAGGUAUGAUUGAGGCAGAGGUACCGUUCCAACGAGAUUUAGGAGUAGCCUCAAGCACAGCCUCAAGAUCAUCAUUCCUAGUAC
rnacentral:lncRNA from 1 species